GGCCAGUGAAUUGUAAUACGACUCACUAUAGGGCGAAUUGGGCCCUCUAGAUGCAUGCUCGAGCGGCCGCCAGUGUGAUGGAUAUCUGCAGAAUUCGCCCUUCAGGCCUAACACAUGCAAGUCGAGCGAGACCUUCGGGUCUAGCGGCGNACGGGUUAGUAACGCGUGGGAACGUGCCCAAAGGUNCGGAAUAGCCUCGGGAAACUGAGAGUAAUACCGUAUGNGCCCUUCGGGGNAAAGAUUUAUCGCCUUUGGAUCGGCCCGCGUUGGAUUAGGUAGUUGGUGGGGUAAUGGCCUACCAAGCCGACGAUCCAUAGCUGGUUUGAGAGGAUGAUCAGCNACACUGGGACUGAGACACGGCCCAGACUCCUACGGGAGGCAGCAGUGGGGAAUNUUAGACAAUGGGGGAAACCCUGAUCNAGCCAUGCCGCGUGAGCGAUGAAGGCCUUAGGGUUGUAAAGCUCUUUCA
rnacentral:rRNA from 1 species